GACUUCACAAGUCUCAGCAAAGAUGGGCUGAUUCAAAAACCUGGUAGUAAGGCAUUUGUAGGAGGAGCCAAAAACUGCAGUCUCUCCGUAGAUGACCAAAAAGACCCAGUAGCGUCUACUUUGGGAGCUAUGCCAAAUACAUUACAAAUCACUCCUGCUAUGGCACAAGGAAUCAAUGCUGAUAUAAAACAUCAAUUAAUGAAGGAAGUUCGAAAGUUUGGUCGAAAAUAUGAAAGAAUUUUCAUUUUGCUUGAAGAAGUGCAAGGACCUCUGGAGAUGAAGAAACAGUUUGUUGAAUUUACCAUCAAGGAAGCCGCAAGGUUUAAAAGACGAGUCCUAAUUCAGUACCUUGAGAAGGUACUAGAAAAAAUAAAUUCCCACCACCUUCACAACAACAUUAGUCACAUCAACAGCAGAUCAUCAUAGACAUUACAAAGUGCACUUGAGGCUGCCCCCAACCUCUGACAUUUGUUCUUGCAUGUGAUGAUAGAAAGUCUUCAGAUGGACUUAUACAUUCUGUGCUUUGGAAGCACAAGAAGAACAAAAAAUGUGUAUAUUUCCUUUAAUGUUUAUACAAAAGUUUAUAUGGAGCAGUAUUGUUAUGUUUGUAUGAAUUUGCAAAAAUUAAAGUGUACAAAGAGAUUUUGAUUUUGCAUAUAUAAAAUAAAUCAUUUUAUUGAUUUUCA
rnacentral:sRNA from 1 species